UGUCAACAUUAUAGUUGCGCUUUGGUUACUCUAGAGAACCUCGGGCCAAUCGCACGUCCCGGUGACAGCGACUUUGCAUUCGGAUGUCACUUUCGAUGCCACUUUCUACGUCUACCAUGGUGACCAUGGGUAACGGGUAAACAUGGUUCAAUUCCGGAGAGGGAGCCUGAGAAAUGGCUACCACAUCCAAGGAAGGCAGCUAGCAUGCAAAUUACCCACUCCCGAUACGGGGAGGUAGUGAUGACA